AUGAACGCUGGCGGCGUGCCUAACACAUGCAAGUCGCACGAAGCACCUUACCUGAUUCUUCGGAUGAAAGUUUGGUGACUGAGUGGCGGACGGGUGAGUAACGCGUGGGUAACCUGCCCUGUACAGGGGGAUAACAGCUGGAAACGGCUGCUAAUACCGCAUAAGCGCACGAGGAGACAUCUCCUUGUGUGAAAAACUCCGGUGGUACAGGAUGGGCCCGCGUCUGAUUAGCUGGUUGGCAGGGUAACGGCCUACCAAGGCAACGAUCAGUAGCCGGUCUGAGAGGAUGAACGGCCACAUUGGAACUGAGACACGGUCCAAACUCCUACGGGAGGCAGCAGUGGGGAAUAUUGCACAAUGGGGGAAACCCUGAUGCAGCAACGCCGCGUGAGUGAAGAAGUAUUUCGGUAUGUAAAGCUCUAUCAGCAGGGAAGAUAAUGACGGUACCUGACUAAGAAGCGCCGGCUAAAUACGUG
rnacentral:rRNA from 1 species